rnacentral:rRNA from 1 species
UACGUAGGGCGCAAGCGUUGUCCGGAAUUACUGGGCGUAAAGGGUGCGCAGGCCGCGCGGGCAGUCAAAUGUGUAAUCCAGGGGCUCAACCCCUGAACUGCGCUUGAUACUUCCGCGCUCGAGCUUUGGAGAGGAGUCUGGAAUUCUCGGUGUAGCAGUGAAAUGCGUGGAUAUCGAGAAGAACACUUAGGGCGUAGGCAAGACUCUGGACAAAUGCUGACGCUCAUGCACGAAGGCUAGGGUAGCGAACGGG